GGGGUUGUAGCUCAGUGGUAGAGCACUUGCCUUGCAUGCAUGAGGCACUGGGUUCAAUGCUCAGCAUCACAU
rnacentral:tRNA from 1 species